rnacentral:rRNA from 1 species
UACAGAGGUGGCAAGCGUUGUUCGGAAUUACUGGGCGUAAAGGGCGCGUAGGCGGCCUUCUAAGUCAGACGUGAAAUCCCCAGGCUUAACUUGGGAACUGCGUCUGAUACUGGGAGGCUUGAGUGCGGGAGAGGGAUGUGGAAUUCCAGGUGUAGCGGUGAAAUGCGUAGAUAUCUGGAGGAACACCGGUGGCGAGGGCGGCAUCCUGGACCAACACUGACACUGAGGAGCGAAAGCCAGGGGAGCAAACGGG